rnacentral:misc_RNA from 1 species
GUAGGUGAACCUGCGGAAGGAUCAUUAACAAUUUUGAGCUUUCUGCAGAUGCCGUCAGGCAGCUGCAGUAAGUUGACUCGGCGGUGAGGUAAGUUUGAUGGCAACAUCUACUUGUCUUUUCUGCCUGAGACAUACACGCUUGCUUUGUUUGACUGAGUAACUAUUUGUAAAUCUAUGACAACUUUUAACAAUGGAUCUCUUGGCUCUUGCAUCGAUGAAGAACGCAGCAUCUGACUGACUGGAAGCUUGU